CAUUUUGGUCUCAUUUAUGUAAAUGCAUUUUAAAAAAUCACAAGAUAAUUUUCUUUAUUUCUUGUAGGUGCAAAGAACAGCAGCUGAUGUGGAGAAAUGUUUGAUACUUCAAGACUCUCUGAAGCUGAUUAUAUUAGGUAAUGUAUUAAUUCUAUUGUAAAUCUUUUGAUAAACUUGUAUUUUAGAUUAAAUUUAAUAUUGAAAUACUGGAUUGUAAGUUACAUUAUUGCUUAUAUUUAUUCAUUUCAGGUGAACACAGUGGCUUUUUUUUUUUUGUUACUUUUCAAGGGUCAGAUGGUUGUGAAUUCAUACCUCAACUUUGUGGCUGGAUUUGCAGUUUAUUACAACUUCAGUCUGGCGUCCCGGGAGCAGGCAUCUUUUGCACACUUGAAUUUUUUCAAAGUCCAGCAGAUCUCCAGUCAUUUCGUUCCUGCAUAUCAAAGGCUUUGUGGUUUGGCUCAUUCACUGUCGCUGCUUGUCCAGCUGCCAGAAGACUGGAGCCCUGUCAGUCAGCCGCGACCCCGCCCGGGACCUUCCCCUACUGGGACAAUGUUCCCAUUGAUCCUGGCUUGGCUGGAGUGACAGGACGCCGCCUCCAUCAGGGAAAUAAGCAGGUAAAAUAUUAAGUUAUGGGGGCAGGUUUCAAUCAAUAAGCAGACCCGUGACUGAGGUGGGGUCUGAGGUUAUUUGCCCUGCUAGAGGACCCUCAUAAUGCAAUUGAGGGAUUUGAAACACAAGUGGAUCUGUUCCAAAGCAAUACAGACAUCAGUCGUCCCAUCCAGACCUGACUGGAAGUUCACAGAUUUCACCAAGAGACCAAUGUUGUUACUGAGCAUAUUGGCAUCAGCUCACCCUAGGACUAGAAGUAGAUCCAAUGGCCUGUGUUCCAAUACAGAGAAAACAAAUACAACAGACGAACAGCAGAAUGGGUAAAUUUCAGCAGAAGGGCCUGGAAAGUGACCAGUCACUGGAAGUUCUGCACAACGGUGAAAAUACAACUACAACUGUUAAAAAUCUUUUUCAUCAUUUGAAAUAAAGCUGUACUACAAAAAAAUAAUUAUAAAUAAAAUAAAUAAUAAACAAAAAAU
ensembl:lncRNA